CUAACAUUAUGCUAGAUGUAUAUGUUUGCAUUUAUUAUUGCCUCUCAUGAAAAAUACAUAAGCAGAUAUCUCUCACUCUGUAGCUUUCUGUUAGUUUGCCUGUAGUUGCUGUAGUCCUAACUGGGAAGGGACAAGGAAAAAGGGAGAGGUAUAUCUCAGCCACAGGGCAGAUCUGGGUUAGAGCCCAGAAUAAACUCAGUUCACCAGUACCCAUAGCUUGAGGUGACUGGGCUGGGUGGAAAUUGUUGACAGGAGGGGGAAAUGUAUGCAUUUCCUUUUUGUUUGAAUCGUGAUUUGCCCUUUCUGUCCCAGAUUGCAUAACAUACAUCACUUAGAAGGUUAAAAUACAAGUCUUCGUGACUCACUCCCAGAGCUACCUAAAAUACUUUUGGGAUUUGUGCAGGGGAAUCUCAGUGGUGAAGGGGGUGAAUCUAAUAACCUUGUAGAAGUUGAGGUUACAUGUCCCGUGGUAGCAAAAAAAGGUGAAAAAAACCUGCCUUUGAAUCCCCCGUCACCACAAUACUCACUCCUGCCCUUUCUCAGAAUUUCCUUUCAGGAGAGCUGAUUCAGCUGUUUGUGUGGCUGCACAUAAACUGGACGAAAGAAUGAGAUUUUGAAAAGCCCUCAAAAAGGGAGGGUUGUGAACCUGUGCAGAAAACACAUGUUGUGCAUCCAUAUUGAGAUCUAUAGUUGUGCUUAGAUGAGGUUAUCUGCACUUAUAGUGCUUCUGGACUGGGACCACAGAUGAUGAGGCUUGCUGGAAUCACGUGCCCAAGAAGUAUAUGACCUUGGAGCACAGAGCUGAGUGAAAGCCAUGUUUCACUAGGAUUUUUGAGAGGCAGCCAGCACUGUUUUCAAAGUGCUCACAAGUAUUGUGGAGGAAAUGUUGACAGAUACUGCAAUACUCACACUGAUGAAUAUGCUCAGGCUGCACUGAGCAUCUCUACAUUUGUGCCAGGACUUGAGACCCAGCAUAACAAGUGCAAUACAAGAGGAGGAGGAAGGAAAAGCUGAUAGUGGGCAGAUGCUUUCUAUCAUUUUCUGGAUGAGCUGCUUUGGCCUCAGCGGAAGAAGCUGUCCCCAGGCAGGCAGAGCUGCUCUGUGGAGCGGAGCAGGCAGAGUUGCCAGGACACAAGUCAUUUUUCAGACCACAGAGUGAAGUUUCUUUCCCAGGGCAGAGCUGGGGGCAUCACUGUCAAGGCACGAAUCUCCCUGAUACCCUGGAGCUGCUGCCCUGAUGGCUGACACGUGGGAGGGUGUGGGGGGUGGCACAGCACCCACCUUUUGCAGUUACUAAGCUUACGUGGUCUCCAGACCAAGGCUCCAAAGUGAGUUUACCAGCACAAUUAUUGAGCUAACAGAGUGUGUAAUCAUCAGAUGUUUCACAGAAAUCAGAAUGUUUGGAGGCUCCUCAUUGCAGAUUAAGUCAAAGCACAAGUGGAAAGCACAGAGAAUAAUUAUUUUCAGCAUUAAAUUUUCAGAUCACACUACAAGCAAAAACUUGAUUCAGAAACAUGUGCAGUAUAUGUAAGUUUUAUGAGCCUUGAACAGUAAAGAGUUUGCUGAAAUUUCUAUCAUCCUUGAAGUGCAUGGGAAGUAGCAUGCAUGCAGUGUGAGAAAGAAGCUGUAUCUGUUUUCUUCUCUUACACAUUUUAAAGGGUUUUGCAUAUGUUCCUUGUUUUCAUAAAACUAUGCAGUGAUUCCCCUAUAAAAUGUCAGUAACCUGGAAACAAACUGUUACAUGAAAGUUUGACUGUGUUCCAUGAUGUACACAUUGUAUCAUAAACCCAACAAAAACACAUGGCAAUUUUCCCUUCCUUCACAUUGGGAAAAUUUCUUCUGCAGACUAGCUUCUUCAGUAAUACUCACCAACAUAGCACAACUUAAGGAACAAAAUGCUGAGCACUCUCAUGGCAGGAUAUAUUGGGCCACGUGGAAAUUUUUCCUGGAAUGAACUACUUUGGAAACACAGAAAAAAAUAUGUGAAAUGUUAUGUCAAAUCAUAUGUUGACAUUCUGGUGAUUCCGUCACAAGUCUUGUAACAGGGUUUGCUGUACACCUCUGCAGUUUGAUUCUAGAGAGCCUGGAAACCUGAGCUAUAAGUAACAAUAAAAACAAUAAAUUAAAAAUGAGAAAAAUAUUGCUCAAUCACGCUGAAAAGUGUAAAAAUAAAGCUCAAGAGCAAAGGCUCAGAAAAGUGGCCUCCAAGUGCAAAUAUAUAUACCCUCAACCUUUUUUUUUUCCUCCUCUCUUUUUAAACUUAUUUUCAAACUCUGUGUGACUUCACGGCAGUUUUGAGGCAGAAGGCACAGGAGCACGGGCAGCCUCGUACCUCUGUGACCAGAUCCUGUAGGAAACCCAUAUCCAAGCUUACUGCAGCAUGAAAGAAAAGGAGGCAUGCCCUCUUCUACCCAUUUCCCUACAAAAGCAGUAACAAAUACUUUACUAUGUCCCACUAACUGUACAGAGAGAAAAUGUCAGAGUGUACACAGCAGCCUGCUGUAUGCUUUCUUCUGCUUCUGUGGCAGGGAUGAGUUUUCUGUUUCUGAAGAACCCCCCUCAUGGUUCAUACUCAUGGUGUAUUGCCUGGAGUAGGUCCCUUCCCAUCUGGAGUGCUCCUCUUCAGACUUCUCUUUUUCUUUCUGUAGCAAGCCCAAGGACUUAUCUCUACAAACCAUAGCCAUAAGAGGACUAAAGACCAAGAUCUUUGGUCUUAGAACCACAGAAUCAUUAGGGUUGAAAGGGACCUCUGGAGAUCAUCUAGUCCAACCCCCUGCCUGCCUAGUGUGGGAAUUAGAGCCUGGAAAAACUUUUAAAGCGAGCAGGUUAUACAGGAAUGUGUCCACGUGGGUUUGGAAUGUCUCCAGAGAGGGAGACUCCAUGACCUCCCUGGGCAGCCUGUUCUAUCCCUCUGCCACCCUCAAAAUAAAGAAGUUCUUAAUGUUGAGGUGGAACUUCUUGUGAAGUCUUCAGCCACUUGAGCUGUAUUUUUUUCCCUAGAAGGUGCUUUUUCACAACCUCUCAUUUGGCUUUCUUGUCUUCAGUCAGAGUAACAGUAUUCUAGUUAAUGGUGGCUUUUAUUUUAAAGAGAAAGAGCAAUGCAAGAAAAGUAAAGUACUUCACUGAUAAUUUAGUGAUUACUAGAAAGUUGCUCUGCAAAGAUAAUUUCUGUGUCAUAAUGAAGCUGAUAUCUUCUCUCUAUAUCCAACCAACCAGCUAUUGGCAAUCAUGCCAAAAACCAAACCAAAACCCAAAAUGGGUUUUCUAUUGCCUGUACUUCAGUGUUCUACUGUGACCUAAGAGUUAUGGCAAUGGCUCUCUUUGGCAAGUACCCCCUGCUGCUUGUGGGAUGCCUCUGAAGCUCAGCAGGGCCACAGCAGGAUGCAAGCUCCAGCAGAAUCUACAAAAAAAAAUUAAGAAAACAAAUUCAAGGAAGCAGUGGAACGUGAAUUCAAGAGCAGAAUGUGAUUGCACAAGGAGAUUCUACACCGAACUGAAACAUUCAUGUUUUGGAUCAUUGAGAACAAAUGAAGUACAAUACCGGUCUGUUCCCUUUCUAUUCUUAUGUCUCUGUUUUGUUUUACUUUCCUUAGCUUAGAUUUUUUUUCCUUUUUGGAGUCCUGCAGGGAGGAAAAAGGAGCCUUUGUUUUAAAAAGUCUGAGACCAACAGUGGCCCAUUGAUCAUAAUUAAGUCUAAAAUAAUACGCUUUUGCUGACCUGUUUGUAUUGAAUCCAAAAAAUUUUAUGUUAUACCUGCUGUAGUCUUGGUCUGCCCCCAGAUUCAGUUGCUUGUUCCUGAGCUUCUGGUUCUGGGGCAAUAGCUUUAAAAGCCUAAAUAAACCUGUGUGUUUUCAGGGCUGCAUGUGAAAACACCUCCUUUUCUGUAUAAGAACAAAUCGAUCAUAAUCAGAUGUUGUCUUUGUCAUGUACUCUCUUUUCUUUGACAGACAGCUGUCCCCAUAACAACCAUCUCUGUUGUCAAUAACUUCCUCAGAUCAUGAAAUGGCACACAGGAUGGCGGUAGUUCUCAUAGUAACACUGGGAGGUUGCAUAAAAAUUUUAAGUAAUCUUGCCGUGAUGUGCUUGGACCCAAUUCAGAGCUUCCUGAAGUCUGUAUGAAACUCUGCUGAUUUCAACAAUCAUUCAUCUCUUCAGGGGCUGCUUCUGACCUUUUGAAUUCAGGUUUUUAACAUGACAAACUACAGAGGCUUAACCCUGUGGCUCUUGGUAGUCUAGUAUGCUCUAAUGAGUCAAUAUGCUUAGUCGUAGAACAAAUAUGCUUCAGGAAAAUAGUGGAGAGAUUCACAAAAAAUAUGUCUUGGCAUCAUUAUCCUAUGAAUGGGGAGUGUUAGGUGCCUUGGACAUGCUUCUAUCUGUUCUCAGCCUGGGUCUUUACAGACACCCACAACAGGUGGCAUAGUCCCAUCCAGCUCCUAAGAAUGCAUGCUCAGGAUAAAAGCCCUUCAAGGGUCACCCAAUACCUGUCUCCCAGACUGCUCAUUUGACUCACCAGCUGGUCUGGUUUGGAGUUCAUUACCAGAUCAGAUGCACAGACAUAGAAUAGAGAACACAAUCACACGGAAGGUAGUUAAAAACGGAAUUUAAAAAGAGGAUAGGACAGACAGUGGCAAUUAGCCAUGGGGCUCAGUCACACAAACAUACUGACCAGCAGCCUGCUUACAUGCAGAUGGCUUUUUUUUAUAUCCUUGCUCCAACACACCUCAAUCUUUUUAGCUCUUCCCUGAUCUGCCUUUGUGCCUCCCUUCCUUGUCUUUGGCCUUUUCCCUAAACAUCUUAUAAUAAUCCUGUAUCAUUUUAAUAGUCUCCUAAUCAAUCACAGUGUUUCCCUCUCAGACACUUUCUUGUAAAUCCUGCUCUCCUUUAUGCAAUAGUCCCCUUAGGUUGUACAGCCUGCCAGAGAGUUUCGAUUGUUGAAUUUCUCAGUAGGUUUUGCACCAGGGAAACAGGUUUGGUAGUCUUAGGGACAACUGACUCAGAUGAACCCAGUUUUCUGGAUUUUUGUGUUUAUUUUGAAUAACCAUUAGCUACACUGAUCACAAAUCUAUCUAUUCUGCAUUAUUUACUCCCUUCAGAGCUGCUUAUUCAAUACCAUUAUCAUUAAAAAUCUCAUUUGGCCCAACCAGAUGAAUCGGAAUAGGGUGAGAAUCCACUUAGUGCAUUCCACAGCAACCCACCCUGCAGCAUGCAUUGAGUCCUCAAGCAGAGAUUAUACUUUAAGUUUUGACUGCUGUGUGUUUUAGGGCAUCUGAGAACACAAGCUUGGUACUGACUUGCUACUGAGGAUAGUCUUCGGAUUCUGUACAGGUAUAUGCUAUGGUUUAAUCCAGCAGGUUUUUUAUUUCGUAUAGAGCUGUGCGUGGGUGUUUUCUUGCCUGGGAAAAAUCUUCAAAUAUGUUGUGUUUUUUUCUUCUUUUUUUCUUGAGAAGUGACAACAUCUGUGCAGGUUAUGGUGCAGUGGUGGCCAGGCCCUCACAGGCUGGCCCAGGCAGAUGCCCAGCAGGAGCCCCUCCAGCUGUACAGCUCACAGGUGGGCCUGCGCCUAUCUCCAGGGCAGCGGGAUGCUGCUCCAUACAGGUCUGAGCCCAUCUGCAGGGCAGUGGGAUGCUGGUCCUUGUGCCUGUUCACAAGCACAAGUCUGCAGAUCAGGCUGUGCAGUGCCGAACAACUACUGCACAAAAGGCUGCAGAAAAGAGGGUGCUAUGUUGCAAACACGAGACGCACAGCCUUGGACAUUCAGGAAAAUGUCUACUGCAUGAAUCUCAUGUUCAGUGCAAGGUGAGGGUGUAGAGGGAUGGGUACACAAACAGGUCUGUGUGAGGGGGUAUUUGGUUUUUGAACAUUGAAAUCAUUGCUCUGCCCAAGCAUAAUGUAUCAUUGGACAACAAGUUGGUGGUAAAGCCGAAGGAAAGGUUCCCUUUGGCAGGGAAUAACCACUGUCUCCGCAUGUAUGUCUCCUCCGAUGCUGGGGUGAGAAGGGAGCCGGGAGCUGCGGUUCACAUUCGUUCGCAACUACUGCCAUCCAGAGCUCGGGGGGCGAAACUGCUCUGCCAGGCUCAGGGUUGCGUCUGUUGCAAAACUUGGACUCUUGACCUCGGUGAAUUGUUGUGGGGUUUUUUUUUGCUUUCCUGCAAUGGGGUUUUUAUUACUUUUUGGAUGGGGAGAAACUGUAAUUUUUUGAUGCCGUCCUGCCAGCCACCCAAGACUCAAGGAAGCCCUAUUUCCCGGGCAAAAUCAAACCUCAGGAGAUAGCGGCUUUGCCUACUUGUGCAGCCUGAGAGUUCACCCACAGCCUGUCCUCACAGUCAUAUUCCCAGGUUUUCUGUACCAGAUCUGCUCAUUGCCAUAUAAUUUUUUUUCCUCUCUCUUUUUGUUUCUUUUUGUCAGGGUUUUAUAAAACUAAUUAAGAAACAAUAGGGAAUGAAAUACUUCUCCGCAUGUGAUCUUCGCAUAGGUCAUUGGGGUUUUUUUGCAUGAUCAUGUAUCUGGGCAAAGUCGUUUUCUUCUUCAAAUCUUUGCAUAGAGGAAUAAAGUGUUACCUUACGACUAACCUAAAAUGGAGGUCUAUGUUUAAUGUUAGCCUGUUUCUUUCAGUGCAGCCUGUUACAGAUGCCAGAAUACUUUAUCUCAGGAUUGGUGGAUCAUAGAAUCAUGGAAUCAUUGAAUGUUAAGGGAUUGAAAGUGUAGGAAAUAAAUAGGAUGGUUUUAUUACAAGCAGGGGUUUCCAUGGCUGCCUCGUGCUGGGGCACUUGGGAGCCAUUUUGUUUAGAGGACUGGGGAACUAUUUUGUGGUCAGGGACUAGUGGACUGCUUGUGAUUCUGCUUGAAGUUGUUUAUUGCUGCUGCCUACUUGCUGCUACAUACAGUUCUGCUUGGGGUUGCCUAUUGCUCUGCUUAUAGUUCUGCCUGCUUACUGCUACUUAUUGUUACUUAUUGUUCUGUUUGCUUUACAGUUCGAAGGUGAGCAGGGAAGAAUGUAAGGUGGUGAGACCAGCCUGGGCUCACUGCCAGGGAACCAUGCGGCCCGCGGCAGGGACACAACCUGGUAGGUGGAUGAAGACAACCAAUGGGCUGCACCAGAAAGUGAAGAUUGCCUUUUAAGAAAGAAAAGAGCGAGGCCUAGCAUGGGAGGAGCGAGGGAGUGGUUGUGCAAAUCGAAGGGUCUUAAAGGGGCUCGUCCCUCCCAGUCAAGUGUGCUCGAACCUGGUCAUGAGUUCGGUGCAGCCAGUGCGCUGUUAAUAAAGUUCUUUGUUUCACUUUA